CUGCGUCACACAUCCAGGGGCCUAAAAUACAGUAUGCUACGUGGCGACGAAAGGUAGAGCUUCCGUAACAUCAGGAAGUGAACUGUUUUAAGCAUUUUAAAACGCUUCAUUGCUGUACGGAGAUGGUUGUUACUAUAGGGUCAACAAGCAUGGAUUCCAUUGCCACAUGCAACACAUGUAGUUCACUGUCAACAACCACCUUACAGAAAACACUGCCUAGAUCUGCCACUUAUCUAACAUACGCAGUUCACUGUCAACAACCUCCCAACAGAAAACACCGCCACCUGCAUGUGCCAUUCUGAAACAGAGUAGCUUCAGGAUUUUGAUUUGAAAGAUGUUCUUAUGAAGAUUUGUUGGCACAGACAACAUCUGGAUGUGGAUGAAAUACUGUUCAACAAUCCAAUGGAGUCAAACGGACAGAUUGAUGUCUGUGAAUGGAAGAUCUAAUCAGAUAAAUGUUGUUAAUCCAUUAUCUACUGUCUCAGUAGUAGGCUUAUGUUUCCUACAACCGUGGUUGAGAUGUGAUUGAGCAUUUCAGAUGUACAGCCUAUAUCAGUUGUUGUUUAAAGCUUUGCCCAGGUGUUCACAUUAUCUUUGAAAAAUAAGGUGUUGAUUGCCAAUUAUAUGCAGUCAUGAUGUGCCUAUAUGUUCAUGAUUUGAUGUCACUAUGAUCAUAUUUAGGUAUAUUUUUGUUAACAAAAAUCUGAUAGCCUGGGCAAGGCUUUAAACUAAGAACAUGUGAGACAACCAUUCAUAUCUGCUAUGAUAAGCCUUGUCAAUGAAUUGAAGGUAUUAUACGUAAACUUAAUAAUUGUCCUUUAACCAUGCAUUGUGGACACAAUAUCAAUUGUAGCACACAGAACACAACUCAAAUUCGAUAGCGAACUGUACCUCAAUCCAGAUAACUGUUAGGUAAAGCUUAUACUAUCCAUCUUUGCUCUUAUGCCAGUUUUCUGUUUAUAUCAGUCAGUACAUCAUUCAUCAACAGUUUCGUUUCUAAAGGAAGCGCAUGCCCCCAAAAGAACUACUUGUCUUCCCCUCCCCCCACCAGAAUCUUGGCUUGUAGUUAUAGAUUACCUCAAAUCACCUUAUUUUCCAAACUGGCUCUCCUCAUUACCUAAUCAUCAAGCCCUACUUCAUCUUCAUCCCCCUCCCCCGCAAAUUGAUUUUGUCCAUCAGUUUUUCUUUGUAUUUGUGCAUCAGGCUAGUCACAUUAGCAUAUCACCUGUAGUACAAACCCUUUUUACAGGCUCCAUGGUUCUCAGUGCUUUGUGAUGUUAUAAAAGGUAAAGGGAACAGAAUAACAUGACGCAUUCCAUAUAUUGUCUCUGCUGUCAGCCGUUUUUCGUUCACUGUUUCUCUCCUCGCAGAUUGCAAACAUAGGUCUGCUCACCAGCAUCACUUAGUCAACUGCUUCUCUCAUCACUGAUUACAAACAUAAUUACGCUCACCAGCAGUACGUAGUCAACACCUUCUCUCGUCGCAACUUGAAAAACAAUUCUGCUCAUCGGCAGCACGUAGUCAACAUCUUUUCUCGUUGCAACAUGCAACAUUAAUUCUGCUCACUGUGAGCACGUAGUCCACAGCUUCUAUCGUCACUGAUUAUAAACCAUAAUUCUGCUCAUCGGCAGCACUUGGUCCACAGUUUCUGUCGUCACUGAUUACAAACAUAAUUCUUCUCAAUGGCAAUAUGUUGUCGACACCUUCUCUCGUCGCAACUUGAAAAACAAUUCUGCUCAUCAGCAGCACGUAGUCGACAACUUUUCUCGUCGCCACAUUAAUUCUGCUCACUGUGAGCACGCAGUCGACGCUUUCUCUUGUCGCAACUUGAAAAACAAUUCUGUUCAUCGGCAGCACGUAAUCAACAUCUUUUCUCGUCGCAACAUGCAACAUUAAUUCUGCUCACUGUGAGCACGUAGUCCACAGCUUCUAUCGUCCCUGAUUACAAACCAUAAUUCUGCUUAUCGGCAGCACUUGGUCCACAGUUUCUGUCGUCACUGAUUACAAACAUAAUUCUUCUCAAUGGCAAUAUGUUGUCGACACCUUCUCUCGUCGCAACUUGAAAAACAAUUCUGCUCAUCAGCAGCACGUAGUCGACAACUUUUCUCGUCGCCACAUUAAUUCUGCUCACUGAGCACGUAGUCGACUCCUUCUCUUGUUACAAAUUGCAAACAAUUCUGCUCACCGGCAUCACAUAUUCCACUGUUUCUGUCAUCGCAGAUUGCAAACAUAAUUUUGCUCACUGGCAGCACAUAGUCGACUGUUUCUAUCAUCGCAGAUUGCAAACAUAAUUUCACAGCCGUCAUAUCAGUAAAUACCAUUGUAAACAUUUUAUUUAGCACCCAUCUUAGAGAACCCUGAUCAGAGCAUCUAUGGUUGGUGAUCUUUAUGUAUUUUGUUUGGUGAUGACAAUUGUAAUGACGCAUAAUUCUACUAAUCUUCACAUCUUCCACUGUUUCUGUCGUUGCAGCUUUCAAUUUUCAGCGACGACAUCACGUGAUGCACUGCGGUGCUAAACAAUUGGAUGAUAUUGGGUGGCGCGUGCAGCACAAUGCUAUUUAAUAACGGCACGAGGUUCUACUCACCCAUGUUAUUUCCAUUACUGCUUCUGUCUUCGCAGGUUUCAAAUUUCAGCGACGACAUCACGUAGUGCGCUCUUGACAAUUUUACAGCAAAAUAUGAUGUCUAUCAGUGAAUACCACUGAAUAUAUUCAACACCCAUCUUUGAAUACCUGCCUCUGCCAGGCCGGAACUUGAUGUGUUUUUAUUCUAAAAAAUAUAUGUCCUCACCUUCCUUCCAACAAAUUACCAAUUUUACUAUCUUAAAUAUAAUUUGUGUGGUGAUGUCAAUUUGUCAGUAUCGUAUACAGUAUGCUUAAUGUGGCCAAUUUAGUUUAAUAGACGGCACUUAGUAUUCUUGUGUUAAAAGGUAUUUACUCCAUGUUUAACAGUAAAUUCUUUUGAAUCUCUAUUGCAACCUCUAAACAAUCUGACGAGAUUGCAUGGCGUGUACAGCACAAUGUUACGUACAAUAACGGCACAAAGUUAUAUUUUUCCAUCAUCUACUGUUUCUGUCGUUGCAGCUUUCAAUUUUCAGCGACGACAUCACGUGAUGCACUGCGGUGCUAAACAGUUUGAUGAUAUUGGGUGGCGCGUGCAGCACAAUGCUAUUUAAUAACUGCAUGAGAUUCUACUCACCCAUGUUAUUUCCGUUACUGCUUCUGUCCUCGCAGGUUUCAAAUUUCAGCGACGACAUCACGUAGUGCGCUCUUGACAAUUUUACAGCAAAAUAUGAUGUCUAGAUCAUGACGAGAUCAUGUGGCGCUCACAGCGUAAUGUUAUAUAUAACGCCACAAAUUUUUGUUCACCAUCGGCACGUCAUCCACUGUUUCUGUAGCCGCUGAUUUUAAUUUUUCAGCUGUGACAUCAUGUGAUGCAUUGCAGCUUCUAAAUAAACUGAGAUGAGAUCAUGUGGUGCUCACAGCAUAAUGUUUUAUAUAAUGCCACUAAGAUCUGUUUAUCCCUUUCACGUAGUCCACGGCUUCUGUCGUCGCAGAUUUUAAUUCUUCACCGAUGACAUCACGUGAUGCAUUGCAGCUUCUAAAUAAACUGAGAUGAGAUCAUGUGACGCUCACAGCAUAAUGUUUUAUAUAAUGCCACUAAGAUCUGUUCAUCCCUUUCACGUAGUCCACAGCUUCUGUCGUCGCAGAUUUUAAUUCUUCACCGAUGACAUCACAUGAUGUGUUGCAGCUUCUAAAUAAACUGAGAUGAGAUCAUGUGACGCUCACAGUGGAAUGUUACGUAUAACGCCACAAAGUUAUACAUGAAACAACAAAAUAUGAUGUGUAUCAGUGAAUACCACUGAACAUUUUACUCGUAAUUCAACAACAAUCUUAAUAUACCAGCCUCUGCCAGGCUGGACUGACUUUGGCAGUCCUUCCUUUGUUUGUAUCACCAAAAUUAUGUCUUUGUCUUUCAUUCUAUAAACUACCAUUUCUGAAGAUAUUAUGACAAGUUCUACAGUUUGUGAGCUGAUUUGAAUACUGUACUGUACAUGUAUUUGUAUUGAAACCUCUGUUUGUAUUGAAACCUCUUAAUUUAUAAAAUACCACAUUUUUUUUUUCCUUAACAUCCAGUAGUAAUAUCCAAUUCAUUAUUUGUCUGGCGUGGAUCGUCUUGAAUACGUCUGAGACUCCACAUUCUCAACAUCUUCCCUAUGAAGUCCUCAGAAGGCAUGAUCUGUAUUAGAGCACUUAGCUUAGAAACUAGUUUUUAAUAGGUCUGUUUGAAAUGCAAUACAUUCUUUAUUUCCUAAUCAAAUUCUAUUCAAAAUUUAGGUGCUUAAACUCGUUGCUAAUAAUUUGCAUUCGUAAAAGCAGAAACUACUUACUGCAUUUGACUUGGAUUUGAUAGGUUACUCCGCAACACUUCAAACUUGAAGUCAAGUGCGAAGGAUGAUGAGUGAACCACUGAGGUAUUUACUGCCUGAGGUUUGAUGGUCUGAGGUGGUUGGUCAAAUCUUCUUUAAUGCUAUUGGUGAUAAGCUAAUGAUGUUUUUGGGAAGAGUAUUCCACUGCAUAUUUAACUUUAAAAAGUUCAUCAAUUCAAUUAUAACACCAAAUUAAUAUUUAUUAAUCGUUGAUGAUUUACAUAAUUUAUUUUUCCUGUUAAUCCAAAUCAAAACAUUUAGAAUUUUCAAACUUUAUUUUUGGAUGAACAUUAAUGUUGUACAAAUCUGCUUGUAUGUUAUGGAACUCUCCAAACAGAAUCUAUACAUUAUAUCAAAAUGUAACAAAUAUAGAAAUACAUCCAACUGUCACCUCAAGAGAGGUGAAUAUGUUUAAUGUGUGUUUUUUUUUACAACAUAUUCAAACAUUGGUCAGAUAUUAGAUAUUAUCAUGAAUUACUUUUAAAUUCUAUUUUUACAUUUAGAUUCUCUUUGUUUUUAUACUUAAAUUGUUCUUUUCCUUCUGUAAGUUUUUAUUGAAAUAUCAGUUUUGUUUCUCUAAUAACUUCCAAAUAGCUCUUUCUGUGAAUGUGUAAUAAUCCUACUAUUUCCACCAGCUGUAAAUUCAAAAACAUAACAAAAAUUUCGUAAAUUUGAAAGAUAUUCCAUUUUGUGCAUAAAUCUGUGAUUAUUUCUUUAGCCAUCAAAUAAUAAUGUGCUCUAAUGCUCAUUAGUUGAUAACCAGCAAUUGUCUAUUUCAUCAGUAAUAUCAAAUAAAAUUACUGAAGCAAGUAUUUCUUUUUCAAACAAGAUCACCAUUGAAGAAACUGUGCCUGAAAUUGUUCGAAGUCAUGAAAUGUAAUAAGAGUCAUCAUCAUCAUCAAGUGAUCUGCCAACAUGGCAACUACUCCCAGCAUCUCUCCCAAUUUAAAGUCGCUGUCUUUAACUGUAAUAAAAGUUACUUUUUGAAUUAACAUUCUGCCUGAAGGAUCACAUCACCUACCUGUGCUGUGAAAGAGAACAUUGUUUGUACAGCUGUCACAGUGUGCAAGGCCAAAAGAGUUAUACAAGUAGAUGGAGUGCUAUGAGAUUCUGUGACAGUAUGUGUAUUACAACCAUCAUUCUCGACCAGUGUGCCACAAACAAAGAGUUUUUCUUCUCCAAGGCCAUGUCAACACCAUAAGAAUAGCAAACUACCUGAUCUGGAAUCACUGCCUGGAUUUGUUCACCUUUAGCUAGAAAUAGUAAUUAUGAUAAAUUUUUGAUGACAUUUUCUUGCUGAAGAACAUUUGGCCUUGGAGGUACAGUAGAAAAAAAGAACUGAAAAUACAUAGCAGUUGCCUUGUAUUUACAUGUCACAAAUAUCAAAAUUGCCAACCUAUACGAACAGUUCCUGUGCCAGAUAACAGCUACCAUAACAUCAAGUAAUGCAGUUUGAAUAAACCACAGUGGGCAGACACAAAAUUGGUUAACACAACCAUAACCUGUGGAAUUGUCUUGAAAACAAAAUCAUCGGAUUGUACCCGAGACCUGUUAUUAUUGAUUAUACUAUACGAUAUACGCUACAUUAAAAUUAUAGUAAUUGAUGAUUGUAUCAGAAAACUGUAUACUGAGGUAACACAAUGAACAAAUUGGUACAGUCCUGAUACCGUACACUACUUCAUUGAUGGACUUUUGAAGAAAAGUGCAGCAAGUUAUACCUGAUUGACUAAAAGCAAAUUUUACUUUCUAAACAGCUUGGCAUCAAGGAUAAUAAAAUAAAAAACAGUUGCUGGUUUUCAGUGAUGGCAAGAGAACGUCAUAAAUUUUAAAAAUAGGAAUGAAUUUGAUAAUUAAGGAACAACAACAUCAAAUAACAGUCAAUUAAACUCAACUGUUAUAAAUUACAGAGCAUAUUAAUAGGAAAAUUGAAUUUAAUGCUGGUGGUCUUCUAAUUUUUAAUAAACUUAUUUCGUUUAAACUGUUUCGUUUUUCCCAUGCAUGUAACUUGAUAAACUUUAAACAUACUGAUUCUUAUUAUCUUAAAGCAACAAUUACAGACUGUUAAUACUUGGCAGAAAUUUACAUGUACAGUAACUACCAAAAAAAAAUCUUGUAGUGCUACCAGUAUCUACACCAAUUGUUCCAUUGCAAUUAUUACUUGAAUUAAACUUUGAAGAUAAGAAAACAGAUGGCAAAAAUUAACAUUAAUUUAAUUAUAACCAAAUUACUAGUUUAUGCAAAAACAAAUUUUUAAACUUUCUAUUUAGAACAUUGUUCCUUGCAACAUAUAAUUAGUUUCCUGUCAUUUCAAUUUCACUGUGUCAUUGUGCUUGUCAUAAUUUAUUUUCAAUCGUUGUUAUGGUUAUACAUUGUAGGUGUUUAACCUGUACCCUCCUUAACAAAAAUGCUCCUAUAUUUUUAUCAUUUUGGUACAGGUAUUGGCAUGCAGUAAGUGGAUGUGAAUAUGUUUGACAUAUAAUUACAAUCCUAAAGCCAUGUUUGCUCAAUCAAAAGGCAUUGUGCACUCUUCAUUUGACUUUUGAUUCUUUGUCAUUAUCUCAACUGCAUUUCAUAUUCCAGCACACAGCUUGGACUGUUUCAUAUUGUUAAUAAAAUUUUACCAAAAAUAUGUAAGGCCCAUUAAAAAACAAAUUAUUAGUUAA